rnacentral:lncRNA from 1 species
GACAUACCCCUUUGAAGUAGAGAAACCAUAGUUAUUCUCUCUAUUCUGCUACCAUCGCCCAUAUACUAGAAUUGCUCUACUCUCUAUUCCCAUAUUAUCACUCACUGUUAUCUUACCUUUAAUAUUGUUCUUAUUCAAUUCUACCAUCUUUCCUAUUUACACUUAUCUAUUUAUCUUGGUUAAGUUAGAGCGUAGAUCAGUUCUCCCAUUUCCCUAUGGAUACGAUAAAACCUUUAACCGGGUAAAAGCUUCAAUGGUAUCCGUGCGCUUGCGGAUUAUCUGUGUGCGUAUAAAUACCAUAGUACACUCUAGUGCCAUGCUGGGGAUGACAACCUAGUAUUCAACUGGUGUUAGCAAGUGUCAACACAAAUCACAACCAAAGCGUC